rnacentral:lncRNA from 1 species
CCAUGGGGGGGUUGUGUUGUGGGGUCCCCAUUGCAGUUUAUGGGGGUCGUGUUGUGGCGUCCCCAUUGCCAGUUAUGCAGGGGGUUGUGUGUGGGUCCCCAUUGCAGUUAUGGGGGUUGUGUUGUGGUCCCAUUGCAGUUAUGGGGGGGUCGUGUUGUGGGUCCCCAUUGCAGUUAUGGGGGGUGUGUGCUGUGGGUCGCCAUUGCAGUUAUGGGGGGUGUGCUGUGUGGGUCCCCAUUGCAGUUAUGGGGGGUUUGGCUGUGGGUCCCCAUUGCAGUUAUGGGGGGUUGUGUUGUGGGUCCCCAUUGCAGUUAUGGGGGUUGUGCACUGUGGGUCCAUUGCUAGUUAUGGGGGGUCGUGUGUGGGUCCCCCAUGCAGUUAUGGGGGGGGUCGUGCUGUGCGCCUCCCUUGCAGUUAUGGGGGUUGUGUUGUGGGUCCCCAUUGCAGUUAUGUGGGGCUCGUGUUGUGGGUCCCAUUGCAGUUAUGGGGGCGGUUGUGCUGUGGGUCCCAUUGCAGUUAUGGGGGGUCUGUUGUGGGGUCCCCAUUUGCAGUUAUGGGGGGUUGUGUGUUGUUGGGUCCCCAUUGCAGUUAUGGGGGUUUUAUUGUGGGGUCCCCAUUGCAGUUAUGGGGUUGUAUUGUGGGGUUCCCCAUUGCGUUAUGGGGAGGGCGUCGUGCUGUGGGUCCCCAUUGCAGUUAUGGGGGUGUAUGUGGG